AACACCGGAGAUCACUGCAGAGGAUAAGAAAGGAGCAGAGCUGCAUUUUUUGUUUCCUCAAAAAACACCUGAGACUCUUAUAUAAUCAAGCCAUAAUCAUGA